rnacentral:lncRNA from 1 species
UUUCCGGGCUAUUAUUUUUAAAAGGCAGGCUAUUGAGCUAUCUGGGAUAGAUCAAGUGACGGAUACGUAGAUGGGAAGUCAAGGAGCUCUAGACUGGAAGUUGGGGACCAUGGAUUGAAGACCUCAUCCAGUCAACAGGGAAGUACAUCUGGGAAUAUUCAGAGGUGAGUCUGGAGAAUGGACAUAACAAUAUCUACCAAACUCAACAAUCCUCACCAUGAUGCUUAAGGAAAACAAAAUGGCCUAGUCUAUUCAAGUCCACCUCGAUUCCAGAGAGCUCUGAAAUGUUGCC